GAUGAACGCUAGCUACAGGCUUAACACAUGCAAGUCGAGGGGCAGCGGGAUUGAAGCUUGCUUCAAUUGCCGGCGACCGGCGCACGGGUGAGUAACGCGUAUCCAACCUUCCGCUUACUCGGGGAUAGCCUUUCGAAAGAAAGAUUAAUACCCGAUGGUAUCUUAAGCACGCAUGAGAUUAAGAUUAAAGAUUUAUCGGUAAGCGAUGGGGAUGCGUUCCAUUAGGCAGUUGGCGGGGUAACGGCCCACCAAACCUACGAUGGAUAGGGGUUCUGAGAGGAAGGUCCCCCACAUUGGUACUGAGACACGGACCAA
rnacentral:rRNA from 1 species